rnacentral:rRNA from 1 species
UGGGGAAUCUUAGACAAUGGGCGCAAGCCUGAUCUAGCCAUGCCGCGUGAGUGACGAAGGCCUUAGGGUCGUAAAGCUCUUUCGCCAGAGAUGAUAAUGACAGUAUCUGGUAAAGAAACCCCGGCUAACUCCGUGCCAGCAGCCGCGGUAAUACGGAGGGGGUUAGCGUUGUUCGGAAUUACUGGGCGUAAAGCGUACGUAGGCGGAUUGGAAAGUAGGGGGUGAAAUCCCAGGGCUCAACCCUGGAACUGCCUCCUAAACUAUCAGUCUAGAGUUCGAGAGAGGUGAGUGGAAUUCCAAGUGUAGAGGUGAAAUUCGUAGAUAUUUGGAGGAACACCAGUGGCGAAGGCGGCUCACUGGCUCGAUACUGACGCUGAGGUACGAAAGUGUGGGGAGCAAACAGGAUUAGAUACCCUGGUAGUCCACACCGUAAACGAUGAAUGCCAGACGUCGGGGGGCUUGCCCUUCGGUGUCACACCUAACGGAUUAAGCAUUCCGCCUGGGGAGUACGGUCGCAAGAUUAAAAC